rnacentral:rRNA from 1 species
AACGGCUGGCGGCGUGCCUAACACAUGCAAGUCGAGCGAGGAGAUCCUUCGGGAUGAUCCUAGCGGCGGAACGGGUGAGUAACACGUGGGCGAACCUGCCUCAUAGAGAGGAAUAGCCUUCCGAAAGGGAGAUUAAUACCUCAUAACAUUGCAGUUUCGCAUGGAACAGCAAUUAAAGGAGUAAUCCGCUAUGAGAUGGGGCCCGCGGCGCAUUAGCUAGUUGGUGAGGUAAUGGCUCACCAAGGCGACGAUGCGUAGCCGACCUGAGAGGGUGAUCGGCCACAUUGGGACUGAGACACGGCCCAGACUCCUACGGGAGGCAGCAGUGGGGAAUAUUGCACAAUGGGGGAAACCCUGAUGCAAGCAACGCCGCGUGAGUGAUGACGGCCUUCGGGUUGUAAAGCUCUGUCUUCAGGGACGAUAAUGACGGUACCUGAGGAGGAAGCCACGGCUAACUACGUGCCAGCAGCCGC